GAGGGUCGAAGGACGUAGGUUGAUACUUAGGCAAAUCCGGGUAUCAUAAGACCGAGAUCUUACAGGCUCUUGACACUCUUCGGAGGAGAUGGAGAAUCGAUGAUACUGUCGUGCCAAGAAAAGCCACUAAGUAUAUUGUAUGUUGCCCGUACCGUAAACCGACACAGGUGGGUGGGAUGAGUAUUCUAAGGCGCGUGGAAGAACCCUGGUUAAGGAACUCUGCAAACUAGCACCGUAUCUUCGGUAUAAGGUGUGCCUACUUUGGUAUAUGGGCUUGCCCCAAAAAGCUAGAGAGGUUGCAACAAAGAGUCCCUCCCGACUGUUUACCAAAAACACAGCACUUUGCUAACACGUAAGUGGAUGUAUAAGGUGUGACGCCUGCCCGGUGCUCGAAGGUUAACUGAUGAUGUCAGCGCAAGCGAAGCAUUUGAUUGAAGCCCGAGUAAACGGCGGCCGUAACAAUAACGGUCCUAAGGUAGCGAAAUUCCUUGUCGGUUAAAUACCGACCUGCAUGAAUGGCGUAACGAGAUGGGAGCUGUCUCAACCAGGGAUCCAGUGAAAUUGUAGUGGAGGUGAAAAUUCCUCCUACCCGCGGAAAGACGGAAAGACCCCGUGCACCUUUACUACAGCUUGACACUGUAGCUUGGAUAUUCAUGUGCAGGAUAGGUGGGAGGCUAUGAUAUAUGGACGCAAGUACAUAUGGAGCCAUCCUUGAGAUACCACCCUUGAAUAUUUGAGUUACUAACUGCGACGAGUUAACCUCGUUCAGGACAAUGUCUGGUGGGUAGUUUGACUGGGGCGGUCGCCUCCUAAAAAGUAACGGAGGCUUACAAAGGUUAGUUCAAAGCGGUUGGAAAUCGCUUGUUGAGUAUAAUGGCAUAAACUAGCUUGACUGUGAGACAUACAAGUCGAACAGAGACGAAAGUCGGUCAUAGUGAUCCGGUGGUUCUGUGUGGAAGGGCCAUCGCUCAAAGGAUAAAAGGUACGCCGGGGAUAACAGGCUGAUCUCCCCCAAGAGCUCACAUCGACGGGGAGGUUUGGCACCUCGAUGUCGGCUCAUCGCAUCCUGGGGCUGUAGUCGGUCCCAAGGGUAUGGCUGUUCGCCAUUUAAAGCGGUACGCGAGCUGGGUUCAGAACGUCGUGAGACAGUUCGGUCCCUAUCUUCCGUGGGCGUAGGAAAGUUGAAGAGAUUUGUCCCUAGUACGAGAGGACCGGGAUGAACGUACCACUGGUGUACCAAUUGUUCUGCCAAGAGCAUCGUUGGGUAGCUACGUACGGAUGUGAUAAGAGCUGAAAGCAUCUAAGCUCGAAGCCAACUCUAAGAUGAACUUUCCCUGAAGUUCCCAGCAAGACUAGCUGGUUGAUAGGCUGGAUGUGUAAGCGUUGUAAGACGUUUAGCUGACCAGUACUAAUAGAACGUUUG
rnacentral:rRNA from 1 species